GGAGGACUCGCAGGACUCAGGACAUAGUCACACUCAAGGCUGUGAUUUCUUACAGAGAGAGGACAUACAGCAGAAUCAGCACAGGGAAUAGGCACGUGAAGUGAAGUCCAGAAGAAACCGUGUGUAAGCUUCCACGAGUUCUCUCGCAGUGUAGUCACGUAGGCGUGCUUGACUCCUCCAGCAGCAAGUUGUGCCUGCGCCUGUGAAAUAUCUACCAGGGAAGCUUCUCAGAAACUCGGUGCCUAAGGUUUUAUUGGGGGCUGGUCACAUGACACCCUCUACCUGGCAUGCACCAAUUCCUGGACUCCCAGAGGGAAAGCAGGUGUUUAGCAUAUACCACAUUGUACAAACAGUCUUGGCCCGGUGAACCAGUCUUAGCACUUCUGGGAAUGCUGGGCACCCUCCUGAAAUCCUGGUUCCCAGACACCAGCCAGGGGCCAACCUUGCAAGCAGGCCAUUCUAAGGAUAGCACUUCCAGUCCUGCUGUGUUUACUGUUUUCUGCACAGGAUGCGUGGGUAACUUUAGUUUCUGUAUUGUUGGAUAUAUUAUUAUUAGAGACAGUGGAAGUCAACAAAGUGUUUCUUAAGAAAACAAGGGAAAAUUUUGGAAAAGUACAGCUUUUGUUAGGCUGGUAUAGGAAUAGUUUUUCUAUUUAUCUACCACUCUCAUUUGUUUCUCUAUCCAAUGGAUGUAAAGUAAGCAUGGUAAGAUUCUUAUAUGCCCCUACUUGCGUAUAAGGGAGGGGUGGAAAGUCAAGGAUGUGACCAUGUGGCCUGGGUAGCCUCGGUGGUUAGUGACCUAGCCAUUUUUGGUUCCUAGCAAUGGCAAAAUCAAGUUGCUAAGGUAGUUUCAAAUAGUAAUUGUUUUUUUGCCGUGCAUGUUUUCCCCUGUUCUGCUCUGUUUUAUCAUGCUAGCUGUUAUCUUACUUUUCAUUUUCGUGAUGUUUAAAAAUUUUGGUUAGAAAUAUUUUUCUUUAAGCUUUUUGAGGGUAGUUUUUUUUUUUUCAUGAGGACUGACAAAUAACUGUAUGCUGGCUCCAUAUUUCUGCAGAGCUUGCAAUCCGAAGAGCUACUCUAAAUAGGUCCUUUACUCCUGUCUUUUUGGGAAGUGCCUUGAAGAACAAAGGCGUCCAGCCUCUCUUAGAUGCUGUUUUAGAGUAUCUACCGAAUCCAUCUGAAGUCCCGAAUUAUGCUCUUCUUCAUCAGGAGGAUGAUUCAAAAGAAAAAACCAAAAUCUUAAUGAACUCCAAAAGAGACAGUUCUCACCCAUUCGUAGGCCUGGCUUUUAAACUGGAGGUAAGUUGCUUUCUAAUGUAUUUAACUGCUGUAGGUAGAGAUUUUCUUUUCUUUUAGGUUUUUAUUCCUAUUAUAAAUUGACUCAUAAAAGAUUUGGUUACAGGGUUCUCUGCUAUAAAGUUACUCUUUUUUCCCCCUUUUGAUACUGACUCUUUAGAGGAAGUUACUAUGCACAGCCACAGUUAAGGGGUGGGGC
rnacentral:lncRNA from 1 species